UCCGUAGGUGAACCUGCGGAAGGAUCAUUCACACGCAUCCAACUUUGAAUUCAUUGUGAACCACCUGCUGUGAGUUUGUGCUCUUGGAUGGAGACAACUUGUCUACAACUUUGGGCAGAAUCUCGCGGGUAGUCCGGGGGAUAUUGGACCGUCUUCCUUUAUUGUCUGGCUACCAUUGUUGUCUGACCAAUGUUAUGCAUGAUGAUCAAUCUUCCUGGUGACGUGGGUGACCACUGUGUGCUUAACAUACAACUUUCAGCGACGGAUGUCUCGGCUCGAACAACGAUGAAGGGCGCAGCGAAGUGUGAUAAGCAUUGUGAAUUGCAGAAUUCCGUGAACCAAUAGGGAUUUGAACGUAUACUGCGCUUUCGGGAUAUCCCUGAAAGCAUGCCUGCUUCAGUGUCAAGAUACUUUCAUGCCACUGCCAACUUGUCAUGUGCAUCGCACAUGCAUCUGACAGCAGUGCGUGUCUGUGCAUUAAGGUGCUCUGCGCUCUUGAUGCAUACAGUGCAUGGGUUUCGUGCUCUGUCAGCAACUUGAUAAACACCUUGUGUAACCUGUUGCCUUGUCAGCUGCACUGAUAGCCUUGCCUCUUAUCUUCCCCUUCGUGGCUACUUUCCAUGACAUGAAGUUAGGUAAGCAAACCCGCUGAAUUUAAGCAUAUC
rnacentral:rRNA from 1 species